rnacentral:rRNA from 1 species
UACGUAGGGUGCGAGCGUUGUCCGGAAUUAUUGGGCGUAAAGAGCUCGUAGGCGGUGUGUCACGUCGGCCGUGAAAACCUGCAGCUUAACUGUGGGCGUGCGGUCGAUACGGGCAUCACUGGAGUUCGGCAGGGGAGACUGGAAUUCCUGGUGUAGCGGUGAAAUGCGCAGAUAUCAGGAGGAACACCAGCGGCGAAGGCGGCGCUCUGGGCCGGAACUGACGCUGAGGAGCGAAAGCGUGGGUAGCAAACAGG